GCAGUGUCUCAUACUUCAUUGCAAAGUGCUCGCCAUCUGCUCUGAGCUUGGGUUUACAGUAUGGCAGGUGACAAUGGAAGGGGAAACGGCUCGAUUCCAACUGCAGCAGUCAUAUUAGUCCUGUGUGCUUUGACCUACACGUCAACUUGUUUAGCUUACAUAAGCUGAGCAAAAGAGUUAAUGAAGAUGAUGUUGGUGGGGCGAUGGGGACAGAAAUAAGGACAGGAACAAUUCUCCUAAAUGGGAAAGAGUUUAACUCCAAGUCAGGAUCUGCUUCUGCUCCUGCCACAGGAAGUGAUGGAUUGCUGCAUAUUGACUCAAAACAAUCUGAUGGCAGAGGUUUGUUGGAGACCUCACAGCUGGGGGACAACAUGGUUGAUGAAGCGGCAUGGAGGCGCUUGAAUAUUUCCCUGACAUGUGGACAAGGCAAGAUGAAGUUGAAAGCUACGGGACCUGGAGCUGCUGACUUUCAACUGGACAUGGGCAACACCGAUUCCCUGCUUUUGAUCCAGGUGCCUAAAAUCUGUGGCUAUUCAAUGCAGCAAAAUGCGCUUGGUCUCAUUUUAGUUGUUCCAUAUGAUGGCUGCAAUGUGAUAAUAGAGGUAUGCGUUUUAUGUCAAA